GCGUGCCUAACACAUGCAAGUCGAACGAAGCUUGAUUUCUGAUUUUUUCGGAAUGACGAAUGAUAUGACUGAGUGGCGGACGGGUGAGUAACGCGUGAGCACCCUGCCCUUCGGAACGGGAUAGUGUCUGGAAACGGACAGUAAUACCGUAUAACAUAUAUUGAUCGCAUGGUCGAUAUAUCAAAACUGAGGUGCCGAAGGAUGGGCUCGCGUCUGAUUAGAUAGUUGGGGGGGUAACGGCCUACCAAGUCGACGAUCAGUAGCCGGACUGAGAGGUUGAACGGCCACAUUGGGACUGAGACACGGCCCAGACUCCUACGGGAGGCAGCAGUGGGGAAUAUUGCACAAUGGGGGAAACCCUGAUGCAGCGACGCCGCGUGAAGGAAGACGGUUUUCGGAUUGUAAACUUCUGUUCUUAGUGAAGAAUAAUGACGGUAGCUAAGGAGCAAGCCACGGCUAACUACGUGCCAGCAGCCGCGGUAAUACGUAGGUGGCAAGCGUUGUCCGGAAUUACUGGGUGUAAAGGGAGCGUAGGCGCGAUGCCAAGUCAGCUGUGAAAACUAUGGGCUUAACUUGUAGACUGCAGUUGAAACUGGUAUUCUUGAGUGAAGUAGAGGUUGGCGGAAUUCCGAGUGUAGCGGUGAAAUGCGUAGAUAUUCGGAGGAACACCGGUGGCGAAGGCGGCCAACUGGGCUUUAACUGACGCUGAGGCUCGAAAGUGUGGGGAGCAAACAGGAUUACAUACCCUGGUAGUCCACACUGUAAAC
rnacentral:rRNA from 1 species